CCAGACCCCGCCUCCGGAAGUCCAGCCUCUAGCUCUGCGCGCCCCCAGUUUCUUACGGAACCGGAAGUGGGGGACGCCAAGGGAAGAUUGCGUGGCGGAGAGAUUGACUUCUAAAGACUCAUGUUCCCUGAGGAGGAAGCCCAGGAGAGGAGGAAGAGGACAGAAAAGGACUCGAGAAUGGCCCCUUCUCAGGGACAGUUGACCUUCAAGGACGUGGCCAUCGAGUUCUCGCAGGAGGAGUGGGAGUGCCUGGACGCUGCUCAGAGGGCCUUGUACAGGGACGUGAUGUUGGAGACCUGCAGGAACCUGCUGUCCCUGGUUUUCUUCCUAGACCCCUGCUUUUUGCUGUAGUUUCUCGUAAUCCGUCCUGCCUGUGUGGGCAGCCAUGAGACUAUGCCGUCUAAGUCUGCAGGUCCAGGUUCCAGUCCUGCUGCCUCACUACUUGCAUUUUGUUCUCAGCCACGUUGUGCCUGACCCUAGUCAAUCAAUUUAUUAUUUCAAACUGCCAGUUAUUUAGAUAUCUCUCAUAUACAUGUGAUCAGGAAAUUUCAACCACAAAUAUACAGUGAUACAGAAGUAUUCCAAACAGUCAUGUUGAAAAUACUUGGAGGGCGUGAAUUCCAGCAUUCUUACUCUAGGGAAAUCCUGGAAAAUAUGUUGUAUGACUUGGAGUGUCAGUGGGGGGAUGACAAAAGAAGUAACAAAGGAGUGCCUGUGACCCGUAAUGAAAGUCCCACUGAUCGAAGGUGUCAACAUGGUAAAAAUGAUGAAGGAACUAAGCCUCUUGAAAAUAAGCAUGAAUUAAGAUUUUAGGAUGAACUGCAGAUACCUCAAGCUGAAGAAAUAAUUUAUGAAUGUGAUGAAGUUGAGAGGUUGAUAAACAGUAGUUUCUCAUUUUCACCACUUCAAGGAAUUCCUCUUAGUGUCCAAACCAACACUUCUAAUUUGUAUGGGAAUGAUAUGCAUCCGUCACUACAGACACAAGGUCAGAAAGCACACAGGAAAAGACCUUACAAAUGUAAGGAGUGUGGCAAAACCUUUUGUUGGAGGUCUGGCCUCAGUAGACAUCAAAACAUCCACAAAGGAGAGAAAUCAUACGUGUGUGAACGAUGUGGCAAAGCCCUUAAUCGAAAUUCACAUCUUGUGAUUCAUCAGAGAAUUCAUACUGGGGAGAAGCCAUAUGAAUGUACUGAGUGUGGCAAGGCCUUCGGUGUGCGUGUAUCCUUAACUGAGCAUCAGGCCAUCCAUACAGCAGAAAGACCGUAUCAGUGUCAUGUCUGUGGCAAGUGUGUCGGUUGCAGGUCACAGCUUGCGUAUCAUCAUAAAUUCCAUACUGGAGAGAAACUUUACAUGUCGUAAGUGUGGCAAAACCUUUUAUCAGUGCUCACACCUCACUGAACAUAAAAAGUCCACUUAAGGGAGAAAUUAUAUAAAUGUGAUACGUAUAGUAAAGUGCUUAGUCAAAAUUCACAACUUGCGAUUCAUCAGAGAAUUCAUACUGGUGAGAAACCUUACAAAUGUAAGGAGUGUGGCAAAACCUUUUCUUGGAAGUCUUCCCUCAGUAGACAUCAAAUAAGCCACACAGGAGAGAAAUUUCAUAAAUGUGAAGAAUGUGGCAAAGCCUUUAAUCGAAAUUCAGAUCUUGUGCUUCAUCAGAGAACUCAUACUGGAGAGAAGCCUUACAAAUGUAAGGAGUGUGACAAGGCCUUCAGACAAACAGGAGCCCUUGCAAAACACUGAAGAACGCACAUGGGAGAGAAAGCUUACAAGUGUGUGUAAUGUGUGGCAGAUGCUUCCGUGUGCUUUCAAGCCUAAUUUACUGUCAGGAAAUCCACGCUGCUGAGAGACUUUAAAAAUGUAAAGAAUGUGACAAGGCUUUUAGCAUGUGUUCACACUUGACGCUUCGUGAGAUAAUUCAUAUCUGGGUAGAAGCCAGGUAAAGGUGUUUAGUGUGACGAAGCCUUGAGAGGAAUUCAUUUGCCAAAUCAUUCAUUCAGAUUACCUCACAGAUAACCACGUUGUGUGAAAAACCUUUACUUGGAGUCCACGUCUCACCAGUCAUCAGAGAAUUCAUACUGGACAGAAUGUUACAGAUGCACCGAAUGUGGAAAGGUCUUAGGCUGAGCCUUAAAUUCGGGCUUCACCAAAUACUUCAUACUUAAAAAUGGAAUGAAUGCGGCAAAGUGUCAAAUUAUUGUUCACUUGUCACUAGGUACAAGAAUACUUAUCCUGGACAAAAACUGCACUAAUGUGUGGGUCAAGGAUUGGAACAAAGAUCCCAGGUUGGGGAACAUGCUGGAGCAACACUUUAAAAAUGCAGUGAGUGCAGAACUUGACUCGUGUUCAAGUACUAUGCAAGAACGGAGAGUCCCCAUUGAGGAGAAUGGAAAAAAUGUGGGCGGAGGCUUUAUCCAGGGCCCACAAUGGGCUAGACUUCAGAAUGUAUUUUCUUUUUUUUACAAUUUUUUAAUUUUUACAUAAAAAUGUAUAUUUUUGAGAGACAGCCCAUGAUAGCAGUAUGUAUGCUAAGACUUGUAUCUGAGGAUCAAAACUGGAACGUAGAGAAUUUAUGUUGAAAAGCUUUUCAUGAUCUUUGGGAAGGAAUGGAUGAAGGGGCUGACUUCAUUGGGUGUGGUUAGUUCACAUCCAUGUUCCCUGGAAAAACAAGGACCCUGAAUUAUCAAAUAUGCGAAUUAGCAUCAGAGAGGGGCAGAGACUAAGGAUCCAAAGAACAAUGGGUGUUUUGGAGAGUCUUGUGACAUGAAAAUGCACAUCAGGCAAUGUCUGGUUCACAGUGGGUGCGCUAGAAACUGGAAGAAAGAGUUGCCUUCGGUCUUUGGUUCAGUGGCAUAAUUGGAGUGGCAUGAUGGCGAACUGACCUUUUAACGUGGGAGUUGGCUACAGUCAGGUAAUUGAAAAUCAAAUACGUGGAGUUUAACAAGCAUGCUUUGAAGUAAAUGAAACUACAAUGAUGAAUAAGAUACAAAGUCCCCAAGGUUCCACCUGUAGUUUGUGACAAGGAGACAGUCAUUGCAGAUGCCGGUCGGCCGUUCUGCCAUUUCUCAGGGACCAGAAUGCACAUUCAGAGCUUGGAGAGCCUUGCAGGGAAAAUGAGGAUGGCGCUACUUUGUCCGUGGCAACUGACACCCGACAGCCUCCACUUAGAAUUUGUUCCCAUCCAAAAAUGGUUAAUAUAUUUAAU